rnacentral:tRNA from 1 species
GCAUUGGUGGUUCAGUGGUAGAAUUCUCGCCUGCCACCACGGUAAGCCUGGUUUGAUUCCCCGCCAAUGCA